rnacentral:rRNA from 1 species
GUGAGGGAUCUUCGGCAAUGGGGGCAACCCUGACCGAGCAACGCCGCGUGUGGGACGACGGCCUUCGGGUUGUAAACCACUUUUCUUGGGGACGAGACAGGACGGUACCUGAGGAAGAAGUCUCGGCUAACUACGUGCCAGCAGCCGCGGUAAUACGUAGGAGACGAGCGUUGUCCGGAGUUACUGGGCGUAAAGGGUGCGCAGGCGGCCCUGCGCGUCGCGAGUGAAAUCUCCCGGCUCAACUGGGAGGGUGGUCGCGAGACGGCAGGGCUUGAGGCUCGGUGAGGGGCGUGGAAUUCCGGGUGGAGCGGUGAAAUGCGUAGAGAUCCGGAGGAACACCAACGGCGAAGGCAGCGCCCUGGACGAGACCUGACGCUCAGGCACGAAAGCUCGGGGAGCGAACAGG